UGUAAUUAGAGAGCUCUCGUUCAUUUUGUACAGAUGGGUUGACUAUCGAAUAAAAAGAGAAAAUUGUUUUCCCUUUUGUUCUCUCUCAGAGACUGUUAGAACUAGGGUUUGCAUUUACAUUUUACCUUAAAUCUGCUUCGAUCCUUCAUGUUUUCAUGGUAUUAGAGCCAUCAAUGGAUUCCUUAGAUCACGGCCUUUCCAGCGAUCCUACCCUUUACAUUUGAUUUUGCUGAUUCUGUUUUCUCCGACGAGGCUGUGACAAUGUGUUUUUGGUGUUUUUUGGUGGUUUCUGUUCAUUCUAAGGUGUUUCUGCUUUGUCCUCUGAUUUUGAUGCAGAAGGCUCUUGCUUUUCAAGUUUUUGAAGAAGUUUGAUUCGAGGUAUUCGGAGGCCGACUCGCGAGGCAAGGGCUUGUUGGAGUAGAGAUUUUCUCGGUUUGAGAUCCAGACAUUUCCGGGCACGGUGGUUGUUGAUCGUGGAGUUUUUACCUAUUCGGAGAUCAUCGAGGUAGCUGUUAUGGCAUUCACAGACCUUGACCUUCCUCCCCGUAUCUUUCAGUUUUAUUUAUUCAGUUCUACUUUUUAGACAGUGUAUCAGACUAUGUCAUUAUAUAGAGGCUCAUGUACUUAGUGACACCCUCGUUUUGGAAAAUUUCUGUAUUUAGUUAUGACAUUUUAUCUAGUUUUAUGAGAGUUUACUUAUGUAAACUUGUUUUAGAAUA